UUAGGGGUUUCUGGUUUUUCAAGAAAUGAAUUUAAUUCAUACGUCUUAUUUAGAGUUUUAUUAUUUGUUUAUUUAUUUUUAUUUGGCGUUAAGAUUGGGAGGGAUUAGCUUCUUAUUUUAUUUUUAUAAUUUUUUGUUUUGUUUAGUCUUGUGGGUUUUAUAGUGAUUUUCAAUUUGAUUAUGUUAAAAUUUUAUUUGUUUUGUUCUUUUAUUUUUGUUUGUUUAAUUAUUUAUUGAAAUGUAUUCUUUAUCUUUGGUUUAUGGUUAGUAAUUAUUGUAGAAUUAGUAAAUUUGUUGUUAGGUUGUUUUAUUUGUGUUAAUUUUCUUUGAGGAACUAGGCAAAUUUCAUGUCCGCCUGUUUAACAAAAACAUCUUUUCUCGUUAGUUUUUGAAGUAUGGCCUGCCCGCUGACUUUAGUGUUGAAGGGCCGCGGUAUUUUGACCGUGCAAAGGUAGCAUAGUCAUUAGUUCUUUAAUUGUGAUCUGGUAUGAAUGGCUUGACGAGGCAUGGGCUGUCUUAAUUUUUAAUUGUUUAUUGAAUUUGGUCUUUGAGUUAAAAUUCUUAGAUGUUUUUAUGGGACGAGAAGACCCUAUAGAGUUUAACAUUUGUUAUGGUCCCCUUUCUGUUUGUGAGGGUUCAUUGGGCCGUUUAAUAUGUUUUGUUGGGGUGAUGGGAGGGAUUAAUUUAA
rnacentral:rRNA from 1 species